CCCGCCCCCGGGCCCCCGCUGUGGUUCCGGCUCGGGCGGAGGACAUGGGGCCCCUUGGCUUCUGCUUCCCCUGUGCGGGGCUGGCCCAGCGCGCGGCUGCCCAUGUCUUUCCUUUCCUUUCCUCAUUCCCUUCUUUCUCCUGGAACAGAUGCCCCUUUCUCUGGUGGCUGACGGCGCCGGGGGCCGGGGCGGCCCUUCCUGCCCUGCCCUGUGGGCCAUGGGGUGCGGGCGCUAGGCGGGGGCGGCUGUUUCUACCUCCCCAGCCUGCCCUCUGCCAGCCCUCUCAGAGCCGGCGGGCUGCUCGCGCCUCCGUCCCACCGGGCGCCCCAGCCUCGGCUCCCUGCCUGGGGCCCGGCUGCCCACCCUGCUGGCCUGUCACUCCCAGCCCAGGACAACGGGGCCACUUCAGAUUCUCUCGGUGGAUCUGACCGCGCUCCUUGUUUUCCCCCAACAAAGAGGUCAGUGUCUCGAUUCUGAGCCCGAUAACCAUCGAAACCCUAUCUCCACCGCGUCCGCCGCUACAGCUUCACCGGAGGCUGUUCCCAAACCUCGCCGAGCACGUCAGAAGCCGCAUCACAGCGGCGGCGGUGCGGGCAGAGCCCACUGUGCAGACUGGCUUGGAACCCAAGAAGCAAAUGCUGCAGCCCAGCCCAGAAGCAAAUGCUGCUCUGUCCUUGGGCUCCCCUGGUGCCCCCAGACCCUGCAAGGAUCCAAACUUCACAGGUUCCGGAGCUGGCCCUAAAGCAUCGAUUCUGCAGCCUGGUUCAGCGCGGGGACCUGCCCGAGGCCCCACGGCCAGGCCUUCCCGGGGUGCCCCCCCAGCCUCUGGCGCCUGCGGGGCGGUGGGGCUCCGCCUGUUCCCCGGCCCCGAGGAGCAGGGAGCCCGCCUGCCCCCACUCACCCCGCCUGCCUCCUUCCCGAGGGCCGAGGGGGCCGGGAGGACGGGGCCGCAUCAGGGGCUCGAUAAGGGCCGCUGAAACGUUAGCAAAAAUAUUUAGACAAUAAACGAAGUACC